CGGGGGAGCCGUGGAGGCUGCGGGCGUCCAGGAGAUCGGUGACGCUGCCGUCCGAAAAGGGCCACCGCAUCUUCUCCGCCGUGUCCAUCUCCAGCUAGCCCUCGCCGCUUCUCCCGCGUCCCCAGCCGCCAGGUUCCGCACGAUCGCCGGGGGCUGGAUGGGGGAUGCUUCUGGAAAUCUGGACACCGCCAGGUCCUUCGGGGGUCGAUGGUCGGGGACGGAAGGGUUGAGGUCUGGGUUCCAGGAGCGAGAAGGCUGGAAGGGUUCCGGAGACAGAGAGAGGGCGCCCCCGGGUCGAAGUGGGGGAGUGGG
rnacentral:misc_RNA from 1 species